UACGGAAGGCAGCAGUAGGGAAUAUUGCACAAUGGGCGCAAGCCUGAUGCAGCCAUGCCGCGUGUAUGAAGAAGGCCUUCGGGUUGUAAAGUACUUUCAGUCGUGAGGAAGGUGUUAAGGUUAAUAACCUUAGCAAUUGACGUUAGCGACAGAAGAAGCACCGGCUAACUCCGUGCCAGCAGCCGCGGUAAUACGGAGGGUGCGAGCGUUAAUCGGAAUUACUGGGCGUAAAGGGCACGCAGGCGGUUAAUUAAGUUGGAUGUGAAAUCCCCGGGCUUAACCUGGGAAUGGCAUUCAGGACUGGUUAGCUAGAGUCUUGUAGAGGGGGUAGAAUUCCAUGUGUAGCGGUGAAAUGCGUAGAGAUGUGGAGGAAUACCGGUGGCGAAGGCGGCCCCUGGACAAAGGCUGACGCUCAUGUGCGAAAGCGUGGGGAGCAAACAGGGAUUAGAUACC
rnacentral:rRNA from 1 species